AUUAUUCAUUCUCAAAUUUGUUCUAAAGCAAACAAAAGUCUUUUUACUCGAUUUCUGAGGAGGAGGCAGCAAGAGAAGGAGAAUGCCUAGGAUCGCUCAUGUGACCCUGAAAGGACCAAGUGUGGUGAAGGAGAUAGCCGUGGGAGCGGUAGUUGCGCUGGCGGCAGGUGGGUUGUGGAAGAUGUAUCACUGGAAUCUGCAGAGGCAAUAUAAGAUGUUUUAUGACAUGCAGGGCAAGGGAGAGUGCACUGUUGUUACUGAAGAAUAAUAAAUUUCUUCUUCUAAGUGUCUGAAAAGUGAAAACUAGUGAUCUACAUCUCUUAAUGUUAAUGAAGCUUUCUGGGUUUUAGUUGGGGUUGCUUUACUAUCUGGGAAAAUAAUGGGGAACACAUGCAAAUAAUCAUAGGUUGUUUGUCAGCCUGAUGAGCUGUAUUUGCAGGAUUGAUUGUGUGGAUUUGUAGUCACAUGUGCACACUGUUAUAUCUUUAAUUUUAAUAUUUUAUUGCCUA